ensembl:miRNA MIR20A microRNA 20a
UAAAGUGCUUAUAGUGCAGGUAGUAUAUUAUCUACAUCUACUGCAAUGUGAGCACUUCCAGU